AUGGCUAUAACACCCUAUCAUGGUGCCCCACGAAACUUCAUUCUUUUGAGGCAUUUCGUCGAACAGUUCGCGUUCACGUGUAAACCAAGACAAACAAGAAGAGAAAUUCAUGGUGAUAAUACAAAGAACCUUUCCAUUCAAAGAAUUCUAAAAAGGUAUGCAAAAAGAGAAAGAGAAAUAGAGUAA